AUGAACGCUGGCGGCGUGCUUAAUACAUGCAAGUCGAACGAAGAAUUUUCUAAGCUUGCUUAGCAAAUUCUUAGUGGCGAACGGGUGAGUAAUACGUAAGCAACCUACCUAUAUGAAUGGGAUAACUAUUAGAAAUGAUAGCUAAUACCAUAUAGCUAAUAAGAGGGGCAUCCUUUUAUUACUAAAGAUGCGUUUUGCAUCGCUUAUAGAUGGGCUUACGGUGUAUUAGCUAGUUGGUGAGGUAACUGCUCACCAAGGCGAUGAUACAUAGCCGGCCUGAGAGGGUGAACGGCCACAUUGGGACUGAGACACGGCCUAGACUCCUACGGGAGGCAGCAGUAAGGAAUUUUCGGCAAUGGGGGAAACCCUGACCGAGCAACGCCGCGUGAGUGAUGAAGGCCUUUGGGUUGUAAAGCUCUGUUGUAAAGGAAGAACGUGCAGAUGAGGAAAUGCUUCUGUAUUGACGGUACUUUACCAGAAAGUCACGGCUUACUACGUG
rnacentral:rRNA from 1 species